rnacentral:rRNA from 1 species
CACUCCUGCGGGAGGCAGCAGUGGGGAAUAUUGGACAAUGGGCGCAAGCCUGAUCCAGCCAUGCCGCGUGAGUGAUGAAGGCCCUAGGGUUGUAAAGCUCUUUCACCGGUGAAGAUAAUGACGGUAACCGGAGAAGAAGCCCCGGCUAACUUCGUGCCAGCAGCCGCGGUAAUACGAAGGGGGCUAGCGUUGUUCGGAUUUACUGGGCGUAAAGCGCACGUAGGCGGACUAUUAAGUCAGGGGUGAAAUCCCGGGGCUCAACCCCGGAACUGCCUUUGAUACUGGUAGUCUUGAGUUCGAGAGAGGUGAGUGGAAUGCCGAGUGUAGAGGUGAAAUUCGUAGAUAUUCGGAGGAACACCAGUGGCGAAGGCGGCUCACUGGCUCGAUACUGACGCUGAGGUGCGAAAGCGUGGGGAGCAAACAGGAUUAGAUACCCUAGUAGUCCCAUG